UACGUAGGGGACUAGCGUUGUUCGGAAUUACUGGGCGUAAAGCGCACGUAGGCGGCUUUGUAAGUCCGGGGUGAAAUCCCGGGGCUCAACCUCGGAACUGCCUUUGAUACUGCAAAUCUCGAGUCCGAUAGAGGUGGGUGGAAUUCCUAGUGUAGAGGUGAAAUUCGUAGAUAUUAGGAAGAACACCGGUGGCGAAGGCGGCCCACUGGAUCGGUACUGACGCUGAGGUGCGAAAGCGUGGGGAGCAAACAGG
rnacentral:rRNA from 1 species